GCAUGCGGGUGCUAUACAUGCAGUCGAGCGAACAGAUGAGAAGCUUGCUUCUCUGAUGUUAGCGGCGGACGGGUGAGUAACACGUGGGUAACCUACCUAUAAGACUGGGAUAACUCCGGGAAACCGGGGCUAAUACCGGAUAAUAUUUUGAACCGCAUGGUUCAAUAGUGAAAGACGGUUUCGGCUGUCACUUAUAGAUGGACCCGCGCCGUAUUAGCUAGUUGGUAAGGUAACGGCUUACCAAGGCGACGAUACGUAGCCGACCUGAGAGGGUGAUCGGCCACACUGGAACUGAGACACGGUCCAGACUCCUACGGGAGGCAGCAGUAGGGAAUCUUCCGCAAUGGGCGAAAGCCUGACGGAGCAACGCCGCGUGAGUGAUGAAGGUCUUCGGAUCGUAAAACUCUGUUGUUAGGGAAGAACAAAUUUGUUAGUAACUGAACAAGUCUUGACGGUACCUAACCAGAAAGCCACGGCUAACUACGUGCCAGCAGCCGCGGUAAUACGUAGGUGGCAAGCGUUAUCCGGAAUUAUUGGGCGUAAAGCGCGCGUAGGCGGUUUCUUAAGUCUGAUGUGAAAGCCCACGGCUCAACCGUGGAGGGUCAUUGGAAACUGGGAAACUUGAGUGCAGAAGAGGAGAGUGGAAUUCCAUGUGUAGCGGUGAAAUGCGCAGAGAUAUGGAGGAACACCAGUGGCGAAGGCGGCUCUCUGGUCUGUAACUGACGCUGAUGUGCGAAAGCGUGGGGAUCAAACAGGAUUAGAUACCCUGGUAGUCCACGCCGUAAACGAUGAGUGCUAAGUGUUAGGGGGUUUCCGCCCCUUAGUGCUGCAGCUAACGCAUUAAGCACUCCGCCUGGGGAGUACGACCGCAAGGUUGAAACUCAAAGGAAUUGACGGGGACCCGCACAAGCGGUGGAGCAUGUGGUUUAAUUCGAAGCAACGCGAAGAACCUUACCAAAUCUUGACAUCCUUUGACCGCUCUAGAGAUAGAGUCUUCCCCUUCGGGGGACAAAGUGACAGGUGGUGCAUGGUUGUCGUCAGCUCGUGUCGUGAGAUGUUGGGUUAAGUCCCGCAACGAGCGCAACCCUUAAGCUUAGUUGCCAUCAUUAAGUUGGGCACUCUAGGUUGACUGCCGGUGACAAACCGGAGGAAGGUGGGGAUGACGUCAAAUCAUCAUGCCCCUUAUGAUUUGGGCUACACACGUGCUACAAUGGAUAAUACAAAGGGCAGCGAAUCCGCGAGGCCAAGCAAAUCCCAUAAAAUUAUUCUCAGUUCGGAUUGUAGUCUGCAACUCGACUACAUGAAGCUGGAAUCGCUAGUAAUCGUAGAUCAGCAUGCUACGGUGAAUACGUUCCCGGGUCUUGUACACACCGCCCGUCACACCACGAGAGUUUGUAACACCCGAAGCCGGUGGAGUAACCUUUUAGGAGCUAGCCGUCGAAGGGGACAAAG
rnacentral:rRNA from 1 species